UGGGGGGCCCUACGGGAGGCAGCAGUGGGGAAUAUUGCACAAUGGGCGAAAGCCUGAUGCAGCGACGCCGCGUGAGGGAUGACGGCCUUCGGGUUGUAAACCUCUUUCAGUAGGGAAGAAGCGCAAGUGACGGUACCUGCAGAAGAAGCGCCGGCUAACUACGUGCCAGCAGCCGCGGUAAUACGUAGGGCGCAAGCGUUGUCCGGAAUUAUUGGGCGUAAAGAGCUCGUAGGCGGUUUGUCGCGUCCGCUGUGAAAGCCCGGGGCUCAACCCCGGGUCGGCAGUGGGUACGGGCAGACUAGAGUGCAGUAGGGGAGACUGGAAUUCCUGGUGUAGCGGUGAAAUGCGCAGAUAUCAGGAGGAACACCGAUGGCGAAGGCAGGUCUCUGGGCUGUUACUGACGCUGAGGAGCGAAAGCAUGGGGAGCGAACAGGAUUAGAUACCCUGGUAGUCCAUGCCGUAAACGUUGGGCACUAGGUGUGGGGGACAUUCCACGUCCUCCGCGCCGUAGCUAACGCAUUAAGUGCCCCUGCCUGCG
rnacentral:rRNA from 1 species